CAAUGCAAAUUGCUCAUGCAAAGUGUUUCAGGCUGAAGGAAUACCUUGUAGACACAUACUUUGUGUUUUAAAGGGAAAAAAAUUCAAUGAAAUACCAAGUAAGCACAUUGUGAAUAGGUGGACUAAGUUUGCAAAUAGAACACCUAUUUUUGACAUAGCUGACAAUGUUUUGGAGGAAGAUAGCAAACUAAUUUCUGAUGUGUGGAGUCACUUACAUAGCUGUGUGGAGAAGGCUGGCAAAGAUAAGGGAAAAUUGCUUCUGUUGUUAAAUGGGGCUGUUAACAUGGAAAAACAAUUGGACGAGUUUGAAGGGAGUUCUAAGAGAAACAGGACAGAUGAUUUGAUUAUUGGGUCCAAUAUUCCUGAGGAAGUAGAAAUCCUUCCACCAAAUUUUGCAAAGACUAAAGGUAGUGGGAAAAGAAUCAAAGGUGGCAAAGAGAAGGCUAUUGAACAACAACAAAAAAAGGCAAGACUUUGUAGGUUAUGCGGUGAGUAUGUGCAUCAUGACAGCCGCAAUUGUCCCCAAAGAUCAUCUCCAUAAUUUUGGAUUGGAAGAAUGGCAUAGAAGAAGGAAGAAGGAAGUUAGACAAACAAGAUGAAUAACAUAGAAGAAUGAAUGUCAUAUUUUGAUUUGAAAGUUCUGUUUUGUAUCAGUAACUUAAGUUCUGUUUUGUAUCAGUACUUGUUUUGAUUUGAUAUCAGUACUCCUAUUAUUGCUUGGUUCAA